GGGUAGUCCUGGCCAUAAACUCUGCGAGCUAGGUGUUGCAUAUUCUCCGAGAAUGUGCGGUGUCGAAAUGAAGAUGUUAAGCUCGCCGCCUGGGAAGUAUGGUCGCAAGGCUGAAACUUAAAGGAAUUGGCGGGGGAGCACCACAAGGGGUGCGGCGUGCGGUUUAAUCUAAUUCAACACAGAGAAUCUCACCAGAAGCGACGGCAGGAUGAAGGUCAAUCUGAAGGGUUUACCUGACGAGCCGAGAGGUAGUGCAUGGCCGUCGUCAGCUCGUGCUGUAAGGUGUCCUGUUAAGUCAGGCAACGAGCGAGACCUGCACCUAUAAUUGCUAACAACUCUUUUAAGAGAAUUGUGCACAUUAUAGGGACUGCCUUGGAAACAAGGAGGAAGGUGCAGGCUACGGUAGGUCUGUAUGCUCCGAAUCUUCUGGGGCUACACGCGCGCAACAAUGGUAAGGACAAUGUGAUGCAACUCCGAAAGGAGAAGCUAAUCC
rnacentral:rRNA from 1 species